CAACUUUCAGCAACGGAUGUCUAGGUUCCCACAACGAUAAAGAACGCAGCGAAAUGCGAUACGUAAUGCGAAUUGCAAGACCUCGUGAAUCAUCAAAAUUUUGAACGCACAUUGCGCUUCCGGGAAUUUCCUGGGAGCAUGCUUGUCUGAGUGU
rnacentral:rRNA from 1 species